UACGUAGGAGGCGAGCGUUGUCCGGAGUUACUGGGCGUAAAGGGUGCGCAGGCGGCGGUUCGCGUGGCGAGAUGAAAUCUCCUGGCUUACCUGGGAGGGUGGUCGCCCAGACGGGAUCGCUUGAGGGUCGGAGAGGGGCGUGGAAUUCCGGGUGGAGCGGUGAAAUGCGUAGAGAUCCGGAGGAACACCGACGGCGUAGGCAGCGCCCUGGACGACACCUGACGCUGAGGCACGAAAGCGUGGGGAGCGAACAGG
rnacentral:rRNA from 1 species